GAAACGACUGCUAAGACUGGAUAGGAAACAAAAAGGGGUUCUUUUUUUUGUUUUUAAAGACCUUCUUAUGAAGGUAUGCUUAAAGAGGGGCUUGCGCCACAUUAGUUAGUUGGUAGGGUAAAAGCCUACCAAGACGAUGAUGUGUAGCUGGACUGAGAGGUUGAACAGCCACAUUGGGACUGAGACACGGCCCAAACUCCUACGGGAGGCAGCAGUAGGGAAUUUUCGGCAAUGGAGGAAACUCUGACCGAGCAACGCCGCGUGAACGAUGAAGUAUUUCGGUAUGUAAAGUUCUUUUAUUGAAGAAGAAAAAGUAGUGGAAAAACUAUAUUGACGUUAUUCAAUGAAUAAGCCCCGGCUAACUAUGUGCCAGCAGCCGCGGUAAGACAUAGGGGGCGAGCGUUAUCCGGAAUUAUUGGGCGUAAAGGGUGCGUAGGCUGUUAGAUAAGUCUAUAAUUUAAUUUCAGUGCUUAACGCUGUCUUGUUAUAGAAACUGUCUUGACUAGAGUGAGAUAGAGGCAAGCGGAAUUCCAUGUGUAGCGGUAAAAUGUGUAAAUAUAUGGAGGAACACCAGAAGCGUAGGCGGCUUGCUGGGUCUUUACUGACGCUGAGGCACGAAAGCGUGGGUAGCAAACAGGAUUAGAUACCCUGGUAGUCCACGCCGUAAACGAUGAGUACUAAGUGUCGGGGUAAAACUCGGUACUGAAGUUAACACAUUAAGUACUCCGCCUGAGUAGUACGUACGCAUGUAUGAUACUUUAAGGAAUUGACGGGACUCCGCACAAGCGGUGGAUCAUGUUGUUUAAUUCGAAGAUACACGAAAAAUCUUACCAGGUCUUGACAUACUCUGCAAAGCUAUAGAAAUAUAGUGGAGGUUAUCAGGGAUACAGGUGGUGCAUGGUUGUCGUCAGUUCGUGUCGUGAGAUGUUAGGUUAAGUCCUAAAACGAGCGCAACCCUUGUCGUUAAUUGCCAGCACGUAAUGGUGGGGACUUUAGCGAGACUGCCAAUUAAACAUUGGAGGAAGGUGAGGAUUACGUCAAAUCAUCAUGCCCCUUAUGAUCUGGGCUACAAACGUGAUACAAUGGCUGUGACAAAGAGUAGCUGAAACGCGAGUUUUUAGCCAAUCUCAAAAAAGCAGUCUCAGUUCGGAUUGAAGUCUGUAACUCGACUUCAUGAAGUUGGAAUCGCUAGUAAUCGCGAAUCAGCAGUCGCGGAAUACGUUCACGGGGUUUGUACACACCGCCCGUCA
rnacentral:rRNA from 1 species